rnacentral:rRNA from 1 species
CAGUAGCCGCGGUAAUACGAAGGGUGCAAGCGUUAAUCGGAAUUACUGGGCGUAAAGCGUGCGUAGGCGGUUUGUUAAGUCUGUUGUGAAAUCCCCGGGCUCAACCUGGGAAUGGCAAUGGAUACUGGCAAGCUAGAGUGUGUCAGAGGAUGGUGGAAUUCCCGGUGUAGCAGUGAAAUGCGUAGAGAUCAGAAGGAACAUCUGUGGCGAAGGCGACUAUCUGGGCCAACACUGACACUGAGACACGAAAGCGUGGGGAGCAAACAGGAUUAGAUACCCCAGUAGUCCCUGUCUCUUAUAC